rnacentral:rRNA from 1 species
CCUACGGGAGGCAGCAGUGGGGAAUAUUGCACAAUGGGGGAAACCCUGAUGCAGCGACGCCGCGUGAGUGAAGAAGUAAUUCGGUAUGUAAAGCUCUAUCAGCAGGGAAGAAAAUGCGGGUACCCGUUCACGAAGCAGUGUCUAACUACGAGACAGCUGCCCCGGUUAUGCGGAGGGGGCCGGCGUUAUCCGGAGUUACUGGGUGUAAAGGGAGUGUAGACGGGACAACAAGUGUGGAGGGAACUGCCGGGGCUUAACCCCGGAACUGCUUUGGAAACUGGGGAGCUAGAGUGAAGGAGAGGUAAGUGGAAUGCCUGGUGUAGCGGUGAAAUGCGUAGAUAUUAGGAGGAACACCGGUGGCGAAGGCGGCUUACUGGACCGUAACUGACGUUGAGGCUCGAAAGCGUGGGGAGCAAACAGGAUUAGAUACCCCUGUAGUC